AGUGAACGCUGGCGGUAGGCCUAACACAUGCAAGUCGAACGGCAGCACAGUAAGAGCUUGCUCUUACGGGUGGCGAGUGGCGGACGGGUGCGGAAUACAUCGGAAUCUACUUUUUCGUGGGGGAUAACGUAGGGAAACUUACGCUAAUACCGCAUACGACCUACGGGUGAAAGCAGGGGAUCUUCGGACCUUGCGCGAUUGAAUGAGCCGAUGUCGGAUUAGCUAGUUGGCGGGGUAAAGGCCCACCAAGGCGACGAUCCGUAGCUGGUCUGAGAGGAUGAUCAGCCACACUGGAACUGAGACACGGUCCAGACUCCUACGGGAGGCAGCAGUGGGGAAUAUUGGACAAUGGGCGCAAGCCUGAUCCAGCCAUACCGCGUGUGUGAAGAAGGCCUUCGGGUUGUAAAGCCCUUUUGUUGGGAAAGAAAAGCAGCAGGUUAAUACCCCGCUGUUCUGACGUUACCCAAAGAAUAAGCACCGGCUAACUUCGUG
rnacentral:rRNA from 1 species